GUGGGGUGGGGCCUGAUGUGAUCACCUUGGCCCUGGCUUACCUCGUCCAUACAUGAAGGUGUUUGGGUUUUGGUUUUGGACUAGGAUCUGAUCCUGAAGGCUUCACUCAGUACAUAUGCUCAAGUCCUCAAACUUUUAGAGAAUGGUUUAACCCUUCCUGGCAAUGCUGCAAGCCCUGCCACGUGAACAAACUUGGGCUGGCCUGCGGUAGACACAUGGCCCAGUUCAGAGCCAUUACCCCAGCCACCUACACCCACUGCCAGCCAGCCAUACAUGUGAGUGAAACCACCCCAGACCAAACAGCCCCCAGUCACCCCACUAGCUGACUGCAGCUGCGAGAGUCAGCCCAGGUGAGACCAACUGGAGAACUGAACUGCCUGGCUGGGCUCAGCCCAAAUGGUCCGGAAGAAUCAGGAGCUACAAAAUAAUAAUUAUUUUAAGCCACUGUGUUUCGGGUGGGUGUUUCGGGUUAAAAAAAAAAAAAGCUAACUGACAUACCCUGGACCAGAGUAGUUUCUAGGCAACAAAUAUCACUUACCUGGAUUCUGGGUCUUGAAAGUUGAAAAAUUCCUUCUGUUUCCAGACUGGUUUCUUCAAUUUUUUGAAUGAAUUUUUAUGAGAUGAACUUAUUUAAAAAAAUUUUUUUUAAUAUUUAUUUUUGAGAGAGCGUGAGUGGGGGAGGAGCAGAGAGAGGAAGACACAGAAUCCGAAGCAGGCUCCAGGCUCCGAGCUGUCAGCACAGAGCUGUCAGCACAGAGCCCGAGGCCGGGCUCGAACUGAAGAACAAUGAGAUCAUGACCUGACCCGGAGUCAGCGGCUUAAUAACCGACUGAGCCUUGGAGGUGCCCCUUAUGAGAUGAACUUUAAUGCCUGGGAUCUUUUGGUCAUUUUUCCCCUAGUAGGACUGAAAGUGGCUUUUCAAAAAACAAACAAAAACCAGUUGCUCUGUUUUGCAUCUAUUUUCGUUUGCAGAGCAUCUGAAUAGGCAAUUAAGGGAGAAAUCAUGAUUCUAUUUCAUAUUUUCGAUACUUCUCUUGGUUAAAUGAUGCAUCCCUAGCUGGGCUCAAGGAGGUGCUAGAGGUGGCCAGCUACAAGGGGGAGGGGAGUAACAGCCACCUGUUGGGCACAGCCCAUUGCCAACUGGAACAAAGCCCUGGAAUCUGGAGAGAAGCCUCUAACUUGCAGUGUCCCUCCAGCGCCCUCUACUGACAAGACCUGACCUCAUGCCAGCUGAUAAAUAUUGGAAUUAAGAGGCAAUCAAUCAAAAAUUGGCCCGGUGACUAAUGGGCUCCCCAAAUGUUAAUAACAAUGAUAGUCAAGAGAAUGGCUAACAUUGAGUUCUCAGUGUUAUUUAUCUCUGAAUAAUCAGGAGACAGCUUAUGGGGAGAGAGGAUAGUGGUCCUUUCUGUGUCUAUGGUUUGUUCACCCUUCCCUAGGCUCAGAGCCUGAGUUGGCCCUGGGUAGCCAACUUUCCCCCUGGCAGGGCAGGCCCAUUGGGUGGAGCUGAGUCCAUCCCUGCUCCAAGGCAGGCAUGUGCCCGGGGGAUGGUGAGUCAGAGCUCUCUCCAACCCUCCACACCACAUUGCGGUGGUGGGACAAUGGGAAAUAAUCCAGGGGAGGAGCCAUGUCACCUCCAGAAACUCAGACAUCCAGACAGGAUGUGGAUCUGGUGCUGACACUCCUUGCCUCGCUUCCCUGCUAGUUUUAAAAAUUCCUUUUUCUACCUAGCACUUACUAUCCUCUGACAUGUAUGUUUCCCUUCUUGGUUUCCUUAAUCUCCUCCUCUGAAAGGUAAGCUUUUAUAAAGGGAGAGACUGAGGUCUGAUUUGUUCCCUGCCGGGUCCCCAGAUCUAGAACGGUGCCUGGUGCACAUGUUAGGCAAGCAAUAAAUAUGUGAAUGUAUGAAUGAGUCAUUAACAAUUAUACCACCUAGGACAGGGGCAGAUGCAACUUACCUCAGCAUAGCUUCCUGGGCCCCCAACUGGGUCUUAAGACAUCAGUGACAUUGUCUGCAUAACAUUGGUUCUCACUGGGUCUGGAAAAUUUGAGUCUUCUAAUUCUACAGUGCCUUGAAUACCCAGGACUUAACACCAGUUAAAGAAUUUUUGAUAGGGGCGCCUGGGUGGCUCACUCGGUUAAGCGUCCGACUUCGGCUCAGGUCAUGAUCUCGCGGUCCGUGAGUUCGAGCCCCGCAUCGGGCUCUGUGCUGCCAGCUCAGAGCCUGGAGCCUGUUUCAGAUUCUGUGUCUCCCUCUCUCUGACCCUCCCCCAUUCAUGCUCUGUCUCUCUCUGUCUCAAAAAUAAAUAAACAUUUAAAAAAAUUAAAAAAAGAAUUUUUGAUGAAUUCAGUGCGUUGUCCAUUUGGUAACAUGAACAUCUUAUCUUGUGAGUUGGUUUCUAGUGAAUCACCCUAUUUCCUUAUUUUCACUCCAGUCCUCAGCCAUGUGUAAUUUCUUCCUGCAAUCCAAAAUGAAAACAUUUUGAAAUAAUGCCAACAGAUAAAAAAUUUCAAAUAGGGGCGCCUGGGUGGCUCAGUCAGUUGAGUGCCCGACUUCGGCUUAGGUCAUGAUCUCGUGGUUUGUGGAUUCGAGCCCCGCGACGGGCUCUGUGUUGACAGCUCAGAGCCUGGAGCCUGUUUCGGAUUCUUUGUCUCUGUCUCUCUCUCUCUCUCAAAAAUAAACAUUAAAAAAAUUUUCAAAUAAUGACAUUUGUCAGGUAGGUACUCUGAAAAACUCAUGAUGCAAGCGUGAAUAUACAUUAUUUAAAAAAUAUUCAUCAAUUGUCGGUGGAUAAUCAUUUCCGAAUUAAGGAAAAUUACUCAUAAAAAUACAAGGACAUUUCCUGUGCAUACACAAAUGUUUCCCUUUUUUUCCCUCCUUUUUAGAGUUCUACAAAUGUAGAAACAUACAUUCAGUUGUUUCAAAUAAACUUUUUAUUUUGGAAGAAUUUUGAAUUUGCAGAAAAGUUGCAGAGACAGUACAGAGAAUUCUUGUAUGCCCUUAACCCAGUUUCCCCUAAUGUUAACAUAUUACAUAGCCAUGGACAUGUAUCAAAACGAAGAAAUUAAUGUUGGUACACUACCAUUAAUCUUCAGACUUUAUUUGGAUUGUGCCAUUUUUUCCACUAAUAUAUCUGGUCUUCCAGGCUCCAAUCUAGGAUAACAAUUUGCACUGAGCAUAUAUUCAGUUUUGGGCUUUGCGUUUUUAUCGAUAAACAAUAUAUCUUGGAGAUGGUUUCAUAUCAGCAAAUAUAAAUGCGGCUCCCUUUAAACCUAGCCACAUAGUAUUCCGUGGUGUGAAAAGAGAAUUAGAGAACUAUUUCUUUUCUGACAUGAUUUAUGCUGUUUUUCAGGGAUUGCUUUUAGGUUAUUCUCGUACAGAGCAUCUUUGCACACACUUGUGAGUGCAUAUGCAGAAUAGAUUCCCAGAGGUGGAAUCACGUGGUCAAAGGGGUGAGAGUUUUACAUUUUCGGGACUAAGCUUACCUGUCCUCGUGUAAGGAAUGUAAACCACAGCGGGUGUAGACAGAGGCGUGUGCCUGCCCGAUGGCUUGUACGGUGUAUUCUUUCCAUUCUAUACUCUCAGAUGAUGAAAGAAACAUUGACCCAGUGGGGCAGGAGAGGGAGAUAAGCCUGGGGAGGUGGCAAGGAGACAAGCCAUAAGGGACCUUCAGUGCCAGGCAGAGGUGCUGGACGUUAUCCCGAGGACACUGGGGAGCCGAGUAGGAUUAGAGGCUGGAUCAAGCCAUGGACAGACGUGGUCAGGUAGAGAUGUGGUAAGAAGAAACAUCAAAUGGCUACCUCUCCCUUGGGUGGCCCCGGGAGCCUCACUCGGCCCUCACGUCUCUCUCCUUCCCUCUCACCCACAGGAGUGGGCAUGUGAGCGGAGGGACCAGGGCGGACAAACCUGUUCUGCCGGCCGAGGCCUGCCUCGGACAGGCCACGCUGCCGCCAGUCCGGCUGAGUGAACUACACUCUGCAGGCGUGUGACCAGAUGGAGCCAAGGAAGGUGGUGGCAGAUGUGGGACAGAGGUGGAAGCCUGCCUACCCGCCCUCUCCGAAGCCAGCGCAACCCCCAGCCCCAGCAUUUGGCAGGGCCUGGCCUGUUUUAACUGUUCCGGUAAAAUUCGAAACUGU